CAGUCGCCGCGGUAAUACGUAGGUCCCGAGCGUUGUCCGGAUUUAUUGGGCGUAAAGCGAGCGCAGGCGGUUAGAUAAGUCUGAAGUUAAAGGCUGUGGCUUAACCAUAGUACGCUUUGGAAACUGUUUAACUUGAGUGCAAGAGGGGAGAGUGGAAUUCCAUGUGUAGCGGUGAAAUGCGUAGAUAUAUGGAGGAACACCGGUGGCGAAAGCGGCUCUCUGGCUUGUAACUGACGCUGAGGCUCGAAAGCGUGGGGCGCAAACAGGAUUAGAUACCCCCGUAGUCCCUGUCUCUUAUACA
rnacentral:rRNA from 1 species